AGUCGAACGGGCUCUUCGGAGCAAGUGGCGGACGGGUGAGUAACGCGUGAGAAUGUGCCUUGAGGAUGGGGAUAACAAUAGGAAACUAAUGCUAAGACCCAAUGUGCCUUAAGUGGUGAAAAAUGAAAAUUGCCUGAAGAGGAGCUCGCGUCUGAUUAGCUAGUUGGGGUGGUAGAAGCGCACCAAGGCGACGAUCAGUAGCUGGUCUGAGAGGAUGAGCAGCCACACUGGGACUGAGACACGGCCCAGACUCCUACGGGAGGCAGCAGUGGGGAAUUUUCCGCAAUGGGCGAAAGCCUGACGGAGCAAUACCGCGUGAGGGAGGAAGGCUCUUGGGUUGUAAACCUCAAAACUUAGGGAAGAAAAAAAUGACGGUACCUGAUUUAAGCAUCGGCUAACUCCGUGCCAGCAGCCGCGGUAAUAC
rnacentral:rRNA from 1 species